rnacentral:tRNA from 1 species
UAGCUCAGUUGGUAGAGCAUGGAGCUUGCAACACCAGGAAGUGGGUUCCAUUCCUAU